UGGGGAAUAUUGGACAAUGGGGGGAACCCUGAUCCAGCCAUGCCGCGUGUGUGAAGAAGGCCUUAUGGUUGUAAAGCACUUUAAGCGAGGAGGAGGCUCUCUUGGUUAAUACCCAAGAAGAGUGGACGUUACUCGCAGAAUAAGCACCGGCUAACUCUGUGCCAGCAGCCGCGGUAAUACAGAGGGUGCGAGCGUUAAUCGGAUUUACUGGGCGUAAAGCGUGCGUAGGCGGCUUUUUAAGUCGGAUGUGAAAUCCCCGAGCUUAACUUGGGAAUUGCAUUCGAUACUGGGAAGCUAGAGUAUGGGAGAGGAUGGUAGAAUUCCAGGUGUAGCGGAGAAAUGCGUAGAGAUCUGGAGGAAUACCGAUGGCGAAGGCAGCCAUCUGGCCUAAUACUGACGCUGAGGUACGAAAGCAUGGGGAGCAAACAGG
rnacentral:rRNA from 1 species